UUAGUCAGAUAUUAUUUGUCAAGAAAAGGGAGAAGGUUGGUUAGGAAAUCUCUUUUUCUUGGUUUACGGUAUGUAAGGCUAAAUUCUACCGAAUUCUUUUCUUGUGCUUGGUUGGAGUGUCUUGCAACAAUGAACUAAUCAAAAUUCCACCAGUACCCUCAACUUAUUCCCUUAUUUCCAACUUUGUGCUCAUGGAACCCUAGCAAUAUAAUUUGUUCCUCCCGCCAGAAUUGUAAAUUCUGUGCUCUUAUUUACCGUCGUCUGCCUCCAUACAAACCCUCAUUGCGACUCUUGCAAUUCGAUGUCGACCGAUUCGCCUAAGCUCACACAACGGUUUGACGAUAAACAAUGUGUGCGUUUUCAAGUUAGCUCGAAGUACCUCAUGGACGUAGCAUGAAAUAGUAUGGCCCGACCGCAAAAAAUCAAACCCGCAGAUACGAAUCUUCUUGUGAUGUUCUAAUACGCCUAAAAAAUGGCCACUUGUUCUUCAAUAUACACAAACCGCUUGUCACGAAGAGUACCCAGCUAUCAGAACAAUGCACAUAGCCUACCAAAUGCAUUCCGGUCCAUCCUAAGAUUGACCAGGCUGUCCGUGUCAGUAACACCAACCAAUCUGUUCAUGUGGCUGACUUGUUUAUGCACUGUGUCGAUGAUGCUAUAAGGUGUACAAGUUGAGUUCUCUUCCUUUUAUUGUGUCGACCCAAUCGUUUGAGGAUAAGGUAUAUGAUACAUAGUCGAGCUACAAGAUAAUUCCGUA